rnacentral:rRNA from 1 species
AAUCAACGCUGGCGGCGUGCCUAACACAUGCAAGUCGAACGAGAAAGUGACUUCGGUCACUGGAAAGUGGCGUCCGGGUGAGUAACACGUGGGUAAUCUACCCUCGGGUGGGGAAUAACGGAUCGAAAGAUUCGCUAAUACCGCAUAAUGCAGCGGCACCUAAUGGUGAAUAGUUGUUAAAGCGGGGGAUCGCAAGACCUCGCGCCUGAAGAGGAGCCUGCGGCAGANAGCUAGUUGGUGAGGUAAUGGCUCACCAAGGCUUCGAUCUGUAGCUGGUCUGAGAGGACGGCCAGCCACACUGGCACUGACACACGGGCCAGACUCCUACGGGAGGCAGCAGUGGGAAUUUUGGGCAAUGGGCGAAAGCCUGACCCAGCAACGCCGCGUGAGGGAGGAAAUCCUUCGGGAUGUAACCUCACAAGCAAGGGAAGAGAGCUGCGGGCUGAAUAAUCCUGCAGUGCGACGGUACC